UACGAAGGGGGCUAGCGUUGUUCGGAUUUACUGGGCGUAAAGCGCACGUAGGCGGGUCGUUAAGUCAGGGGUGAAAUCCCGGAGCUCAACUCCGGAACUGCCUUUGAUACUGGAUAGCUAGAGUUCGGCAGAGGGAAGCGGAAUUUCGGGUGUAGCGGUGAAAUGCGUAGAUAUCCGAAGGAACAUCAGUGGCGAAAGCGGCUUCCUGGAGCAGAACUGACGAUGAGGCACGAAAGCGUGGGGAGCAAUCAGG
rnacentral:rRNA from 1 species